UGGAUGAAGGCGCUCGUGGAUAACGUUGGGAAUAAAGGGAGCUUGAUUAGGCCUAGAGAAGCUAGGCGAGAACACCCAUAUCGCUAUUAAAAGUAAUACUAUUAUUUGCAUUUUUCAUUUCAUUAAAAAUGGACAGUACUCUCGCAGCUAUUCUUAAUUAGAUUCCUACUACCUUGAAUGGGGCAUUCUGGUUGCUGUUGUGUGCCUAGGCUAUCAGAAAGCCUUUGAGGUUCUGCAUAAAAGCCCUUCAGUAACCAAUAAGAUGCCUAAGCGGAAUGUAUGACAACUGUGUGCCGAUGUGCCCACAUUGCUAGAGUGGCGAGUAGUAACCCUAAUUACUAUGUAAAUAUACAGAUAGCUUAGAAGAUAGUGAAAGUGAGUCAAGUGGUGUUCAAAUGUGUGAUGAUGAAGAGGCAAUGAGACA